rnacentral:misc_RNA from 1 species
CUACCCCUCAAGCGCGGCUUGUGUGUUGGGCGCUGUCCCCCCCUUUUUUCGGGAGGACAGGCCUGAAAGGCAGUGGCGGCGUCGCGUCCGGUCCUCGAGCGUAUGGCUUUGUCACCCGCUCUGUGAGGAUCCGGCCGGGGCCUGUCUCACCCCCAAUCUUCUCUAA